rnacentral:rRNA from 1 species
UACGUAGGGGGCAAGCGUUGUCCGGAUUUAUUGGGCGUAAAGAGCGUGUAGGCGGCUUGGUAGGUCCGCUGUGAAAACUCGAGGCUCAACCUCGAGAUGUCGGCGGAAACCACUUGGCUAGAGUCCUGAAGAGGAGAGUGGAAUUCCUGGUGUAGCGGUGAAAUGCGCAGAUAUCAGGAAGAACACCUAUGGCGAAGGCAGCUCUCUGGGACGGUACUGACGCUGAGACGCGAAAGCGUGGGGAGCGAACAGG